rnacentral:lncRNA from 1 species
CUUUUACGUCGGCCUUCGCGAGCGUCUGGGCGGGUGGUAGGAACAAUGGCGCUGUCUUCAGUGGCACAGUGGAGCAGCUCUGAAGAUGCAAAGAUACACGAAAAAACUUCCAGAACAUCUGGGAGAAUAUUUAAUGGAAAAUCGCUUGGUUAAAACCUGACACUUUUAACAGGUAUGUGUUGUUUUAGUACUUUAUGAUUGAGCAUAGCAUUUAAUCCACACCUAGACUAAAUCAAAUUUUUUUUGUCAGUGAACAGCGUUCUGAGUGUGGACGAGUAGCCAGUGAAGAUAAUGAAUGUCGAAUGUGACUGACUAGCAGCUUCAUUUUGAAGUAGGUUGUAUGGCUUAAAAGUUCUGUAGUAUUUGUACUAUAAUACUUGCCUUUUAGCAUUACCUUGGUUUGUAGUCAGUGUCACAGAAGUGCAGUUUAAUGUAUUAUGUGUACAUAUACAAGGUCUGAUUGGUCUAAUCAAUGAUGAAACCUAUCCCGAAGCUGAUAACCUGAAGAAAAAUAAGUACGGAUUCGGCUUCUGAGAUUAAGACCAGUAAUUCAGAGGUGGAGUAAAUUUUGUUGCCGUGAUUUUAUAACAGUUGUGUUAUAAAAUCCUGGGUUUUUUUUUUUUCUGCCAACAGUGAGGGUCGCUGUCUGCCCAUUGAUAGAGGCCAGAUUGUCUUGGAAGUUCCAAAGUUGCAACGAUUUCUGUAAGUGGAGUUUUUCUGUUUGCUUAGAGAUCAGUGAAUAUUGUGUCCUUGGUCUUAUCUGUGAUGAUCUUAUCCCGAACCUGAACUUCUGUUGAAAAAAAAAAACUUUUACGGAUCUGGCUUCUGAGAUGGACCGUUAUAAGGACAAUAUUUUUUUUUAAUACUUUUAAUGCUUUUACAUAUGUUGUAAUGUUUGUAGUCUUGUAAGAAUCUCGUGUUUUUCCUUUUCUAGGGCUAGUGCCACGAGGUUUACUUGACUGUUGUGUGAAAAGCUGAUAAGAAAACCAUCCAGAAAA